UACGUAGGGGGCAAGCGUUGUCCGGAAUCAUUGGGCGUAAAGGGCGCGUAGGCGGCCCGCACAAGUCUGCGGUGAAAACCCCCGGCUUAACCGGGGGCCGGCCGUGGAAACUGUCGGGCUGGAGGCUGGGAGAGGGCAGCGGAAUUCCCGGUGUAGCGGUGAAAUGCGUAGAGAUCGGGAGGAACACCGGCGGCGAAGGCGGCUGCCUGGACCAGUCCUGACGCUGAGGCGCGAAAGCUAGGGGAGCAAACGGG
rnacentral:rRNA from 1 species